UACGGGGGGGGGCAAGCGUUGUUCGGAAUUACUGGGCGUAAAGGGCUCGUAGGUGGCCAAUUAAGUCAGGCGUGAAAUCCCCAGGCUCAACUUGGGAACUGCGUCUGAUACUGGAUGGCUUGAGUUCGGGAGAGGGAUGCGGAAUUCCAGGUGUAGCGGUGAAAUGCGUAGAUAUCUGGAGGAACACCGGUGGCGAAGGCGGCAUCCUGGGGCUGCACCUGACGCUGAGCCGCGAAAGCCAGGGGAGCGAACGGG
rnacentral:rRNA from 1 species